rnacentral:rRNA from 1 species
GGGAUAGAAUUCCAGGAGUAGCGGUGAAAUGCGUAGAUAUCUGGAGGAAUACCAAAGGCGAAGGCAGUCCCCUGGUCCGAUACUGACACUGAGGUACGAAAGCGUGGGGAGCAAACAGGAUUAGAUACCCUGGUAGUCCACGCCCUAAACGAUGUCGAUUAGCCAUUGGAAGGACCCCUUUUCCUUUCAGUGACGUAGCUAACGCGUUAAAUCGACCGCCUGGGAAGUACGACCGCAAGGUUAAAACUCAAAGGAAUUGACGGGGACCUGAACAAGCGGUGAAUGAUGUGGAUUAAUUCGAUGCUACGCGAAGAACCUUACCUACCUUUGACAUGGCCAAAGUUCUACCGAGAGGCGGAAGUACUCGUAAGAGGAUUGGCGCACAGGUGCUGCAUGGUUGUCGUCAGUUCGUGUCGUGAGAUGUUGGGUUCAGUCCCGCAACGAACGCAACCCUUAUCUUUAAUUGCUCCUAUUUUAACAGGCACUUUAAAGAAACUGCCAAUGAUAAGUUGGAGGAAGGUGGGGAUCACGUCAAGUCCGCAUGGCCUUUAUAGGUAGGGCUUCACACGUCAUACAAUGGUUAGAACAAAGAGCUGCAAAUUCGUAAGAAGGAGCCAAUCUCACAAACCUAACCUCAGUUCGAAUUGCGGUCUGCAACUCGAGCGCAUGAAGCCGGAAUCGCUAGUAAUCGUGGAUCAGAAUGCCACGGUGAAUACGUUCUUAGGUCUU